rnacentral:rRNA from 1 species
GACGAACGCUGGCGGCGUGCUUAACACAUGCAAGUCGAACGGAAAGGCCCUGCUUUUGUGGGGUGCUCGAGUGGCGAACGGGUGAGUAACACGUGAGUAACCUGCCCUUGACUUUGGGAUAACUUCAGGAAACUGGGGCUACUACCGGAUAGGAGCUCCUGCUGCAUGGUGGGGGUUGGAAAGUUUCGGCGGUUGGGGAAGGACUCGCGGCUUAUCAGCUUGUUGGUGGGGUAGUGGCUUACCAAGGCUUUGACGGGUAGCCGGCCUGAGAGGGUGACCGGCCACAUUGGGACUGAGAUACGGCCCAGACUCCUACGGGAGGCAGCAGUGGGGAAUAUUGCACAAUGGGCGGAAGCCUGAUGCAGCAACGCCGCGUGCGGGAUGACGGCCUUCGGGUUGUAAACCGCUUUCGCCUGUGACGAAGCGUGAGUGACGGUAAUGGGUAAAGAAGCACCGGCUAACUACGUG